GCGGUCGUGGCGGAAUUUGGUAUACGCGCAGCGUUGAGGUCGCUGUAGGGAAACCUAUGGAAGUUCGAGUCUUCUCGACCGCACCA
rnacentral:tRNA from 2 species